rnacentral:rRNA from 1 species
UACGGAGGGUGCGAGCGUUAUUCGGAAUAACUGGGCGUAAAGGGCACGCAGGCGGAUUUUUAAGUCAGGUGUGAAAGCCCCGGGCUUAACCUGGGAAUUGCAUUUCAUACUGGGAGACUAGAGUACGUUAGGGGUGGGUGGAAUUCCCAGCGUAGCGGUGAAAUGCGUAGAGAUGGGGAGGAAUACCGGAGGCGAAGGCGGCCCCUUGGGAAUGUACUGACGCUCAUGUGCGAAAGCGUGGGGAGCAAACAGG